AGAGUUUGAUCCUGGCUCAGGAUGAACGCUGGCGGCGUGCCUAAUACAUGCAAGUCGAGCGAACGGACGAGAAGCUUGCUUCUCUGAUGUUAGCGGCGGACGGGUGAGUAACACGUGGAUAACCUACCUAUAAGACUUGGAUAACUUCGGGAAACCGGAGCUAAUACCGGAUAAUAUUUUGAACCGCAUGGUUCAAAAGUGAAAGACGGUCUUGCUGUCACUUAUAGAUGGAUCCGCGCUGCAUUAGCUAGUUGGUAAGGUAACGGCUUACCAAGGCAACGAUGCAUAGCCGACCUGAGAGGGUGAUCGGCCACACUGGAACUGAGACACGGUCCAGACUCCUACGGGAGGCAGCAGUAGGGAAUCUUCCGCAAUGGGCGAAAGCCUGACGGAGCAACGCCGCGUGAGUGAUGAAGGUCUUCGGAUCGUAAAACUCUGUUAUUAGGGAAGAACAUAUGUGUAAGUAACUGUGCACAUCUUGACGGUACCUAAUCAGAAAGCCACGGCUAACUACGUGCCAGCAGCCGCGGUAAUACGUAGGUGGCAAGCGUUAUCCGGAAUUAUUGGGCGUAAAGCGCGCGUAGGCGGUUUUUUAAGUCUGAUGUGAAAGCCCACGGCUCAACCGUGGAGGGUCAUUGGAAACUGGAAAACUUGAGUGCAGAAGAGGAAAGUGGAAUUCCAUGUGUAGCGGUGAAAUGCGCAGAGAUAUGGAGGAACACCAGUGGCGAAGGCGACUUUCUGGUCUGUAACUGACGCUGAUGUGCGAAAGCGUGGGGAUCAAACAGGAUUAGAUACCCUGGUAGUCCACGCCGUAAACGAUGAGUGCUAAGUGUUAGGGGGUUUCCGCCCCUUAGUGCUGCAGCUAACGCAUUAAGCACUCCGCCUGGGGAGUACGACCGCAAGGUUGAAACUCAAAGGAAUUGACGGGGACCCGCACAAGCGGUGGAGCAUGUGGUUUAAUUCGAAGCAACGCGAAGAACCUUACCAAAUCUUGACAUCCUUUGACAACUCUAGAGAUAGAGCCUUCCCCUUCGGGGGACAAAGUGACAGGUGGUGCAUGGUUGUCGUCAGCUCGUGUCGUGAGAUGUUGGGUUAAGUCCCGCAACGAGCGCAACCCUUAAGCUUAGUUGCCAUCAUUAAGUUGGGCACUCUAAGUUGACUGCCGGUGACAAACCGGAGGAAGGUGGGGAUGACGUCAAAUCAUCAUGCCCCUUAUGAUUUGGGCUACACACGUGCUACAAUGGACAAUACAAAGGGCAGCGAAACCGCGAGGUCAAGCAAAUCCCAUAAAGUUGUUCUCAGUUCGGAUUGUAGUCUGCAACUCGACUACAUGAAGCUGGAAUCGCUAGUAAUCGUAGAUCAGCAUGCUACGGUGAAUACGUUCCCGGGUCUUGUACACACCGCCCGUCACACCACGAGAGUUUGUAACACCCGAAGCCGGUGGAGUAACCUUUUAGGAGCUAGCCGUCGAAGGUGGGACAAAUGAUUGGGGUGAAGUCGUAACAAGGUAGCCGUAUCGGAAGGUGCGGCUGGAUCACCU
rnacentral:rRNA from 1 species